rnacentral:rRNA from 1 species
CACCUACGGGUGGCAGCAAUUAGGAAUCUUGCGCAAUGGGCGAAAGCCUGACGCAGCGACGCCGCGUGGAGGAUGAAGGAUUUCGGUCUGUAAACUCCUUUUAAGUGGGAAGAAAUUUGACGGUACCACUUGAAUAAGCCCCGGCUAACUACGUGCCAGCAGCCGCGGUAAUACGUAGGGGGCGAGCGUUGUCCGAAGUUACUGGGCGUAAAGCGCGCGUAGGCGGUUAUUUAAGUCUGGGGUGAAAGGUUCAGCGCUCAACGUGAACAUUGCCUUGGAUACUGGGUGACUUGAGUCUGGGAGGGGGUAGUGGAAUUCCUGGUGUAGCGGUGAAAUGCGUAGAUAUCAGGAGGAACACCGGUGGCGAAGGCGACUACCUGGCCUAAGACUGACGCUGAGGUGCGAAAGCGUGGGGAGCGAACGGGAUUAGAUACCCCGGUAGUCCACGCCGUAAGCGAUGAGUGCUAGGUGUUCGAGGUAUCGACCCCUCGGGUGCCGUCGCUAACGCAUUAAGCA